rnacentral:rRNA from 1 species
UACGUAGGAUGCAAGCGUUGUCCGGAUUUACUGGGCGUAAAGCGCGCGCAGGCGGCACUCUAAGUACGCUGUGAAAUAUCCCGGCUCAACCGGGAGGGUGCAGUGUAGACUAGAGAGCUUGAGGUCGGUAGAGGGGGGUAGAAUUGCUGGUGUAGCGGUGAAAUGCGUAGAGAUCAGCAGGAAUACCCGUGGCGAAGGCGGCCCCCUGGGCCGUACCUGACGCUGAGGCGCGAAGGCUAGGGGAGUGAACGGG